rnacentral:rRNA from 1 species
GCCCCAGGCCCUGAUGGUUUUCCCUUUAUCUUCUAUCAACAUUUUUGGGAGGUCAUCAAAGAGGAUUUCAUGCUGAUGGUUGAUGCUUGGAAUAAGAAUGAGCUUGAUCUAUAUAGACUGAACUUCUCUCUUUUAACCCUUAUCCCUAAAGAAAAUGAUGCUAACAUAAUUCAGAAGUUUAGGCCCAUAGCCAUUACUAAUUGCAGUUAUAAAUUUUUUGCUAAAUGUGUUACUAACCAGUUGGGGGAUAUUUGUGAUGAGCUUAUAUCUCUUAACCAGACUGCCUUUAUUAAAGGUAGAUUUAUUGUUGAGAGUGUAGUGUCA